AGAGUUUGAUCAUGGCUCAGAACGUACGCUGGCGGCACGCCUAACACAUGCAAGUCGAACGAAGUAGCAAUACUUAGUGGCAGACGGGUGAGUAACAUGUGGGUAUCUGCCCUUUGGCCUGGAAUAACACGAGGAAACUUGUGCUAAUACUGGAUAAGUCUUUACGGAGAAAGCUUUAUGCACCAUUGGAUGAGCCCGCACUUGAUUAGUUUGUUGGUGGGGUAAUGGCCUACCAAGACUGUGAUCAAUAGCUGAUUUGAGAGGAUGAUCAGCCACAUUGGGACUGAGACACGGCCCAAACUCCUACGGGAGGCAGCAGUGGGGAAUCUUGCACAAUGGAGGAAACUCUGAUGCAGCGAUGCCGCGUGAGUGAAGAAGGCCCUUGGGUUGUAAAGCUCUUUCGUCGGGGAAGAAAAUGACUGUACCCGAAUAAGAAGGUCCGGCUAACUUCGUGCCAGCAGCCGCGGUAAUACGAAGGGACCUAGCGUAGUUCGGAAUUACUGGGCUUAAAGAGUUCGUAGGUGGUUGAAAAAGUUGGUGGUGAAAUCCCAGAGCUUAACUCUGGAACUGCCAUCAAAACUUUUCAGCUAGAGUUUGAUAGAGGAAAGCAGAAUUUCUAGUGUAGAGGUGAAAUUCGUAGAUAUUAGAAAGAAUACCAAUUGCGAAGGCAGCUUUCUGGAUCAUUACUGACACUGAGGAACGAAAGCAUGGGUAGCGAAGAGGAUUAGAUACCCUCGUAGUCCAUGCCGUAAACGAUGUGUGUUAGACGUUGGAAAUUUAUUUUCAGUGUCGCAGCGAAAGCGAUAAACACACCGCCUGGGGAGUACGACCGCAAGGUUAAAACUCAAAUGAAUUGACGGGGACCCGCACAAGUAGUGGAGCAUGUGGUUUAAUUCGAAGAUACGCGCAGAACCUUACCAACACUUGACAUGUUCGUCGUGACUUUAAGAGAUUAAAGUUUUCGGUUCGGCCGGACGAAACACAGGUGCUGCAUGGCUGUCGUCAGCUCGUGUCGUGAGAUGUUGGGUUAAGUCCCGCAACGAGCGCAACCCUCACUUUUAGUUGCCAUCAUUAAGUUGGGCACUCUGAAAGAACUGCCAGUGAUAAGCUGGAGGAAGGUGGGGAUGACGUCAAGUCCUCAUGGCCCUUACGUGUUGGGCUACACACGUGCUACAAUGGUAUCUACAACAGGAAGCGAAACAGCGAUGUUAAGCAAAUCCUUAAAAGAUACCUCAGUUCGGAUUGCACUCUGCAACUCGAGUGCAUGAAGCUGGAAUUACUAGUAAUCGUGGAUCAGCGUGCCACGGUGAAUGCGUUCCCGGGUCUUGUACACACCGCCCGUCACACCAUGGGAGUUGGUUCUACCUUAAGGCAAGGUUUAAUACCCUUGACCACGGUAUAGUCAGCGACUGGGGUGAAGUCGUAACAAGGUAGCCGUA
rnacentral:rRNA from 1 species